UUCAUAAAUAUUGAAGUUAACUUUUAAGUGAAAAGGCUUAAAUAAUUUGGGGGGACGAUAAGACCCUAUAAAUCUUAACAUUUCUACUAUUAAAUGUACUUAGAGUGUAGUUGAUGUAUGUUUAUUGGGGUAGUGUUUUACUGGGGCGGUAUAAAUAAAAUUAGUAACUGUUUAUAUUAAUUACAGUAAUAUCUGAACAUUUGUAGAUCCUUAAUUAAAGAUCAAAAGUUUAAGUUACUUUAGGGAUAACAGCGUUAUUUCUUUUAAGAGUUCAUAUCUAAAAAGAAGUUUGCGACCUCGAU
rnacentral:rRNA from 1 species